rnacentral:rRNA from 1 species
AUUGAACGCUAGCGGGAUGCCUUACACAUGCAAGUCGAACGGCAGCACGGACUUCGGUCUGGUGGCGAGUGGCGAACGGGUGAGUAAUGUAUCGGAACGUGCCUAGUAGCGGGGGAUAACUACGCGAAAGCGUAGCUAAUACCGCAUACGCCCUACGGGGGAAAGCAGGGGAUCGCAAGGCCUUGCACUAUUAGAGCGGCCGAUAUCGGAUUAGCUAGUUGGUGGGGUAACGGCUCACCAAGGCGACGAUCCGUAGCUGGUUUGAGAGGACGACCAGCCACACUGGGACUGAGACACGGCCCAGACUCCUACGGGAGGCAGCAGUGGGGAAUUUUGGACAAUGGGGGAAACCCUGAUCCAGCCAUCCCGCGUGUGCGAUGAAGGCCUUCGGGUUGUAAAGCACUUUUGGCAGGAAAGAAACGUCAUGGGUUAAUACCCCGUGAAACUGACGGUACCUGCAGAAUAAGCACCGGCUAACUACGUGCCAGCAGCCGCGGUAAUACGUAGGGUGCAAGCGUUAAUCGGAAUUACUGGGCGUAAAGCGUGCGCAGGCGGUUCGGAAAGAAAGAUGUGAAAUCCCAGAGCUUAACUUUGGAACUGCAUUUUUAACUACCGAGCUAGAGUGUGUCAGAGGGAGGUGGAAUUCCGCGUGUAGCAGUGAAAUGCGUAGAUAUGCGGAGGAACACCGAUGGCGAAGGCAGCCUCCUGGGAUAACACUGACGCUCAUGCACGAAAGCGUGGGGAGCAAACAGG